rnacentral:rRNA from 1 species
AUUGAACGCUGGCGGCAGGCCUAACACAUGCAAGUCGAACGAGUGGCGGACGGGUGAGUAAUGUCUGGGAAACUGCCCGAUGGAGGGGGAUAACUACUGGAAACGGUAGCUAAUACCGCAUACCAUCGGAUGUGCCCAGAUGGGAUUAGCUAGUAGGUGGGGUAACGGCUCACCUAGGCGACGAUCCCUAGCUGGUCUGAGAGGAUGAAGAGCCACACUGGAACUGAGACAGUGUCAGGACUCCUACGGGAGGCAGAAGUGGGGAAUAUGGCACAAGGGGCGCAAGCCUGAUGCAGCCAUGCCGCGUGUAUGAAUGAGGCCUUCGGGUUGUAAAGUACUUUCAGCGAGGAGGCGUUACUCGCAGAAGAAGCACCGGCUAACUCCGUGCCAGCAGCCGCGGUAAUUC